GGGAGUUUAGCUCAGUUGGUUAGAGCACCUGCCUUACAAGCAGGGGGUCAUAGGUUCGAGUCCUAUAACUCCCACCA
rnacentral:tRNA from 1 species